UACAGAGGUCUCAAGCGUUUGUUCGGAUUCAUUGGGCGUAAAGGGUGCGUAGGUGGCGCCGUAAGUCGGAUGUGAAAUUUCGGAGCUUAACUCCGAAACUGCAUUCGAUACUGCGGUGCUUGAGGACUGGAGAGGAGACUGGAAUUCAUGGUGUAGCAGUGAAAUGCGUAGAGAUCAUGAGGAAGACCAGUGGCGAAGGCGGGUCUCUGGACAGUUCCUGACACUGAGGCACGAAGGCCAGGGGAGCAAACGGG
rnacentral:rRNA from 1 species